rnacentral:lncRNA from 1 species
UUAUAUGCCACAAAAUUCAUUUAUGUAUAGACAAGCCGAAGAUUGUUGGUUACUACAAUUUUACAUUAUCCCACAAUUCCAAAAGUUAUGGAAUUAAUCCAUUUUUGUAAAUUACAGAUCGACAUGAGUACAUAAAAUUACAAAAUUUAAACUCCACAAUUGAAAUUGAUUCUUAUUUCAUUUGUUGAAUUGAAAUUGGAAACAUGUAUUUUCUUGAUCCCAUCUAGCAGAAAGGAUAAUGUAUUUACUUAGUACAUUCACCAUCUAAUUGCCAUAUAUGGUCCAAAAAACCAAGCCUAAUUCACAGAGUUUUAUAAAAUAUAUAAAUGCAUACACAAAACCACUCGAACACCUUCCAUCAAACCCUCAAUAAGUGAAACAAUGAGUCACCAAUUAAAACAGUAAAAAGCAAUGAAACCUCCUCAUCAAUGGGUCAUCUUAAUAGUUGAACUUGUAAAAAUCAAUAAACUCACUACUUCUCCUUGUCUUCCUUUCUUCCAUUCAAUUGUUUCUCUAAACUUUUAAUCCCUAAGAAUUGAUGAAGAUUAGGAUGAUGAUAUACUUUGGUCUUAAACUUUUGAUGGUCCAACAAGUAGGGAGGUUGAGCCACAAGACCCUACAACGACUUGAGGCAGUGUGGAUAAUAGUGAAAAUGCAAGUUGCGAUCAUUGAGGGGGAGCAUUAUCUAGCAGAGGUUCAGGAAUAUCCAAGGCUUGUUUCAACCUAAUAUGUUUAACCAAUGAAAUCAAUAUUCAAAAUUAGAGUACACCAGAAGUUUCAGCACAAUAAGUUGAGAUAUGCUUUUAAUUUCUAGCACAAAUAAUGUGCAUCUCACAUCAAUGGAAAAGCUUUUUUAUUGUUAAUAAAAUAUAAGGUAAAAGGACUCAGUCAGUCCAUAUGAGAGCGAAAACAAGUUGAAUGUCACUUAGUAACAAAAUACAGCCUGCACAGUUGAUUAGACCAAGUACAAUAUAAUGUCAGCCUAGCUUCACAUCUAUCCAGUCAGUCGUCAUCUCUCGACUAUCAACCCAAACCUGUCUAUCCAGUAGGAAUUUAUGUGAAUGGUUAGUGAGUAAGUUAGUUUUCAAGGACAUGUGUGAAAGGUUUCGCAUACAGUGCUGAUUUGUGUUUUAAGUUGAAGGUCCUUUCUACAUUGACAAUCCUCUUGUAUUUAUAUGGACAAAGUACUUGAUGCCCAAGUUUUCAAGUCUUGGAAGCAGAGAUUAUGACAAUCGUUUCUUGCUUGAGGCAAGAAAUUCAUUUUCUAGUGAUCACAGUGGUCCACUAAGGCUUCCCAUAAAAACUUCGGAUCCUCUUUAGCUAGAAAUUCAAUUUGAAUGAAAACGAGGGUCUUAACUUUCUAGGACUCAUUGGCAACAUCAUCUAGGAUGGUGUCGGACAACUUCCUCACCACUUCUUGACAUUUUGGGCCCACAUGAUGUAGUUAGUGCCAGAGAUAUUGAGAGCAGUGAAGUCCAACUUGUUCAAGUUUGACAUCUUUUUUGCAGGAAAGAAGUGGAUUCAAACUAGAUAUAAAAAAACGGUGAAGUCCAACUUGUUCAAGUUAACAUCUUUUUUACAGGAAAGAAGUGGAUUAAAACUUUAGGUUUAAUGAAACUGGAUGUAAAAAAAACCGGAUUAAAGGUUUGUUUUGCAAGAUAACUCCAGGUUUCUAUAUGGUGAAUAAAAGCUUAAGAGUGUGAGCUUCGACCAUAGAUGUCACUACAAUAAAUUGGUCUUUUAGCAAGAAAUGUUUCAGCGAGAACAUUAUCUUCCAUGCUGUAGAGUUGCUUUCGGCAAGGAAAAUUUUGAGUUCUCGUAAAAAGUGAGCUCAUUUGGUCUCCUUACAUCUCUAAGAAACAGCGAGGAAAAAUUAAUUUGGUGAGAAAAUUGUUUUGUAGCUGUACAUAAUGCUAGCGAGGAAAAAUUGUUCUUCUUGCUCUAGGUUUAGUGGGAAUUAUAU